CGGGAACUCAAAGGAGACUGCCAGUGAUAAACUGGAGGAAGGUGGGGAUGACGUCAAGUCAUCAUGGCCCUUACGAGUAGGGCUACACACGUGCUACAAUGGCAUAUACAAAGAGAAGCGACCUCGCGAGAGCAAGCGGACCUCAUAAAGUAUGUCGUAGUCCGGAUUGGAGUCUGCAACUCGACUCCAUGAAGUCGGAAUCGCUAGUAAUCGUAGAUCAGAAUGCUACGGUGAAUACGUUCCCGGGCCUUGUACACACCGCCCGUCACACCAUGGGAGUGGGUUGCAAAAGAAGUAGGUAGCUUAACCUUCGGGAGGGCGCUUACCACUUUGUGAUUCAUGACUGGGGUGAAGUCGUAACAAGGUAACCGUAGGGGAACCUGCGGUUGGAUCACCUCCUUACCUGAAAGAA
rnacentral:rRNA from 1 species